CUGACUUUUGCCUUCGGCAAGCACCACUAAUAAUAAGUAUGUGAGCUAGUAAUAGUGUUACCUUGCCUUCGGCAAGCACCACUAAUAAUAAGUAUGUGAGCUAGUAAUAGUGUUACCUUGCCUUCGGCAAGCACCACUAAUAAUAAGUAUGUGAGCUAGUAAUAGUGUUGCCUUGCCUCCGUCAAGCACCACUAAUAAUAAGUAUGUGAGAUAGUAGUAGUGAUGCUUUGCCUUCAGCAAGCACCACUAAUAAUAACUAUGUGAGAUAGUAAUAGUGAUGCUUUGCCUGUGGCAAGCACCACUAAUAAGUAUGUGAGAUAGUAAUAGUGUUGUUUUGCCUUCGGCAAGCACCACUAAUAAUAACUGUGUGAGAUAGUAAUAGUGUUGCCUAGCCGACUAACGCUAAUAUGCACUGUUAGCAAUUGAUGUAAUUUUUACAAUAAAUUUUACAACAACGCAUUGUAUUCAUGUUUUUGUUGUAAAUGCAAAUGCAUGAUGGGAAAUUUAAGGACAGUCCUGUAAUAUUAUUGUAACUACACUGUAGAAGCAUUAUUUUACAGCCACCGCAUAGCAUUGUGGGAUCGCUGCUGUUUGAAUUUUGAAAUUACGCGGCCAGCGGUACCAGAAGUAUUUUAACAUUUUUGGAAGAAGGAACAUGUCUCAGGUAUGUAACAUAAAAUCUGUUUUAUAAUUCUUUAUAUAUAUUAAUACUGGUGAUCUGAGUGAGUGCUGAUUGUUUCGUUUGGUUUAUUUCAGAUUUCUCUUGAACUGACCGCGAAGUUAGUUAAAAUCGCGUCUUCAUACUCUAUCCAUUUUAAAACUAAUGCUGCGUUUCCACCGCUGGAACUUCACCCAGAAACUAGGAACUUUGGGCUGGUAUUCUUAUCCUAAUGAGGCCUCAAGCACUAAAGGCUCUAUGAUAUACUCUAUCCAACAGCAGAAGACACCAGGAGUGGGGAAGGUUCUGGAAGCCUACAAUGAAGAGAGUGGCAACAAAGCUAUCUGCACAAUCAUGUGCCUGCUUGCUCACUUCAAGGAGGGGAAUGGUAUCUUCCUUACGGCUGAUGUGAGUAUAACUUGCAGUGCAUAUACAUAAAUUAACCAUUCCCUCACUCCCUCCCUCCCAUCUCUGUCCUGCUAUUUUGUAAUUGUUAAUUACCAGAAAUCACUCACCAGCCACAUCCUUUGCUAUGGACACUUUGCACAAGUUAUUCUAAUAUUCCAUAGACUCUGAACAGCCUGAGUAUCAGACCAAAGCUAGCGCUUCAGUCUGACACCCGUGUCAUUCAAAGCGUUUACAAAGGGGGAGGGCUUUAGAUACCUUUUCAAAAGAAAACCAAAUAUCACGGUGCAAAAUGGAGAGUGCGUGACACUUGUCACUUGAAAGUGAAAAACAGUGUUUGAGAUUCGUUGCAGCAGAUUCAAGCAGCUGUAGUUAUGUACUUGUGUUUGUGCUAGAAACAUAUACAAGACAUAUACAAGAAAUAUUCUUCAAGUGUGCAAAUCUCAUUGGAUGAAUUCACAUACUGAUUUGCGGAUGUGCAAAAUUUCUCCACGACUUCACAUUCCUUGAUGCGGGUGUGUAAAUGCAUUUUGAACCAUAUUCACUGCAGCAACCGUAUCAAAAAUGUGAGCGUAUGAGUUUCUUAAUUUGUGAUUUGUAGAAUAGGAUAUGUGAACCUGCAAUGAAGAAUUUGAGAAGGUGUCUACAAGUCUACAAGUUUGCAACUCUUAAAACAUUUCUCUCUGUUACUUCAAAUUUACUGAUACACGUGUGGCUUUUCUCUACAACUACAAAUCGCACUGUCACAGGCGUUCAGUUGAUUUGAUUCAAAUAUACCUCCAUAAGCAAUGAUUUGAUAUAUGAAGGGAUCUUAAACAGUGUUUAUAACUUUUCUGUAAUUGUAAUUUUUUGUUAGAGUUAGGGAUGCCAGUAAGUCAACCCCGGCCCACUUAAUACAAAAACAUUAUUUUGCAUUUUGAGUGAUCAGAUUUUACACAUUGAUCUGCAGGUAUAAGAAAAAACUCAUUAUGCUAUCCAAUUUAGU
ensembl:lncRNA